rnacentral:rRNA from 1 species
AAACUUUGCAAUGUGCGAAAGCACGACAAGGUUAAUCCGAGUGAUUUGUGCUAAACGAAUCUUUUGUUAGUUCUAGAAAUACUAACGAAUAAGGGGUGGGCAAGUUCUGGUGUCAGCCGCCGCGGUAAAACCAGCACCUCAAGUGGUCAGGAUGAUUAUUGGGCCUAAAGCAUCCGUAGCCGGCUCUGUAAGUUUUCGGUUAAAUCUGUACGCUUAACGUACAGGCUGCCGGGAAUACUGCAGAGCUAGGGAGUGGGAGAGGUAGACGGUACUCGGGAGGAAGUGGUAAAAUGCUUUGAUCUCUCGAUGACCACCUGUGGCGAAGGCGGUCUACCAGAACACGUCCGACGGUGAGGGAUGAAAGCUGGGGGAGCAAACCGGAUUAGAUACCCGGGUAGUCCCAGCUGUAAACUAUGCAAACUCAGUGAUGCAUUGACUUGUGGUCAAUGCAGUGCUGCAGGGAAGCCGUUAAGUUUGCCGCCUGGGAAGUACGUACGCAAGUAUGAAACUUAA